ensembl:lncRNA
CAUUUACCAGGGGUCCGCCCGGUGUCCUUUGUCUAAAUUGGUGCGUAAUCUUCAACUGGAGGCAUUUUCCCAUGAGAUUCAGAAGAGAACGCACACUUCCACGAACAAUAUAUCAUCGAAGAGAUAUGUGAAAAACACCUUGAGGAUUGGUUCUAAACAACGUUUACCAUGUUUCAGUCGAUAUUAUGGAGUUAAUUUGGAAAAAAGUUCGGCGUUUUGAUGACUGAAUUUUCGUAUUUUUUUUGGUAGCCAAACGUGACGCACCAAACGGAGCGAUUUCUCCUAAACAAAUAAUCUUUCAGGAAAAACUGAACAUUUGCUAUCUAACUGAGAGUCUCCUCAUUGAAAACAUCAGAAGUUCUUCAAAGGACCUGAGCCCUAGGAUCCAUGCCUCAGGACUACCUGACAUCAUGACUCUCUGCUGUCCCCAGUCCACCUGGCCGUGCUGCUGCUCCAGUUGCAACUGUUCUGCCUGUGAUUAUUAUUAUUUGACCACGCUGGUCAUUUAUGAACAUUUGAACAUCUUGGCCAUGUUCUGUUACAAUCUCCACCCGGCACAGCCAGAAGAGGACUGGCCACCCCACAUAGCCUGGUUCCUCUCUAGGUUUCUUCCUAGGUUUUGGCCUUUCUAGGGAGUUUUACCUAGCCACCGUGCUUCUACACCUGCAUUGCUUGCUGUUUGGGGUUUUAGGCUGGGUUUCUGUACAGCACUUUGAGACAUCAGCUGAUGUACGAAGGGCUAUAUAAAUAUAUUUGAUUUGAUUUGAUUUAACAUCUGGAUACAAUCACAAGAAAAUGUUUUCUAAAAUGUUUCCAUUCUAGGAACCUCCAACUUACCUUAUUCCAUCAGCACACGAGUUAGUAGGUUUACAGAACUCUAUCCCAUCAACCGGACCUGGCUUCACACUCUAAUUAACAAGGAUUUACCGUUACAUAGGCUGAAUACUUUUCAGGUGCAUUUUUUUAUGGAUAUUGAUAGACUCCCAAGUGUUCUUGGCUUGUGCCAACGCUGUUCUGUGUCUGUGCAGCUGUGAACUGGUGGUGCAGCAGGAAUGUUUAGUUGAGAGUAGUGCACUGUCUGGUAAAGAAGGGCCACCUGAUGAUUGCACAGAGCACUUCCUGCAACACAGGAACAGUGGCUUUGGACCCUUAUCACUGGUACGGAGUGCUUUUAACACUAUCUGUGAAGAUAAGUGAAGUGACUGAAGUGAGAAACAAGAAUGAUGUGGCCCAUAAAUAACAAUAAACAUAGUUGUAUCUAGUCUUCUUAACUUGGGGCUCAU